rnacentral:rRNA from 1 species
CAAUUCUGGUUGAUCCUGCCAGAGGCCGCUGCUAUCCGGCUGGGACUAAGCCAUGCGAGUCAUGGGGCGUGGGCCGCUCUGCGGUUCACGCACCGGCGGACGGCUCAGUAACACGUGGCCAACCUGCCCUCGGGAGGGGGAUAACCCCGGGAAACUGGGGCUAAACCCCCAUAGGGGAUGGGUACUGGAAUGUCCCGUCUCCGAAAGUGCACGGUCACCGUAAGGUACCGUGCAGCCCGAGGAUGGGGCUGCGGCGGAUUAGGUAGUUGGCGGGGUAACGGCCCGCCAAGCCGAAGAUCCGUACGGGCCAUGGGAGUGGGAGCCCGGAGAUGGAGGGCCGGGCAAGGCCGGUGGCAGCCGCCGCGGUAAUACCGGCGGCCCGAGUGGCGGCCACUAUUACUGGGCCUAAAGCGUCCGUAGCCGGGCUGGUAAGUCCCCCGGGAAAUCUGGCGGCUCAACCGUCAGAAUGCCGGGGGAUACUGCCAGCCUAGGGACCGGGAGAGGCCGGGGGUAUUCCCGGGGUAGGGGUGAAAUCCUGUAAUCCCGGGAGGACCACCUGUGGCGAAGGCGCCCGGCUGGAACGGGUCCGACGGUGAGGGACGAAGGCCAGGGGAGCGAACCGGAUUAGAUACCCGGGUAGUC